CAAUUAUCGUGAGAACAUAAGAACCAAUAAAAUUACUGCAUCUGCUAUACAAAUUAAUGCAUUCGCUAUUAAAUUUAAUGCAUCCGAAAAAAAUAAUUUUUUUGCUCCCUUCAGGAUUCGAACCCAGCACCUGCAUCCAUCCACCAAGAUGAUGCAUCCACCGUAGAUCUUGAUGAUCGAAUGGCUUAAAAUGGUUCUCCGUUCUUAUUUUAUUAGUGGUUCUUAUUUGAACCUCUCCCUAUAUAUAUAUAUAUAUAUAUAGGGUUGGACUCCUGUGAGAAUCUAUAAUCUUGUAAGAACUAAGAACUAUCUUAGACCAUAGAUUAAGCUUAAUCCAACGGCCUAGAUUAUAAAUUAGGCGAUUAAUUAAUUUACAAUCUUUAAUUUUAGAGCUGCGUUUUUUAUGAACAAGGGUAAUAAUGGAAAAUAUGUUUAAUGUCCUUAUGGUAUGAAUCAUCUUAAAUUUGGUAAAUCAGAAAUGAAUCUCUUAAUUAUAGGGUUGACUCCAUUUGUUUGAAUAAAAAAAAUUCACCUACACUAAAUAAGCUAUCAACAUCAAUCUAUUCAUCUCCACCGCCAUUUUCUACCUAUCAUAGCAAUAAAUAUUCAAGCUCUUACUCCACCAUUUUUUUUACUUUGUUCUUCAACUUUGUUCACGCCGGAAUCGCAAAAAGCGGCGAAUAGAAGACGCCUUUCACCUUGUUCACGUCGGGCUCGGAAGAGCUAGACCAUCCAAUAAGGAAAUAAUAUUGCAAAAUAAGUUGAUAGAAGCAUAGGCGAGAGGUAUGAAUUAAGUACUUGAACAAAUGAGGUAUGCUCAUUAUCUAUUUUUGAUCUAACUUGACAUUAUUUGCGGCCACAAAGUGGAGGCAAAGAGUUCUUCAUAAGGCACAAUUAUAUCGCUAGGAAAGUCAAGCGUGAGGCAGUUGGCACGAAGAGAAUGCACUCAUCCAAACCUGAUACGGCUGAACAAUCAUUGAUUUUCCGGCGACUUCCGUUGAAGCAAUGAUAAUUUAUGAACAUCUAUGUUUUACUUUGGGAUUUUCAAUAAUGUAUUUGUUGUUAUUUUUUCCCGUUGCUUUCCGACGACUUGAAGAAAAAAAUUGUUGCGUACAAGGAUGGGUCGUUGUUGGUAUCAUUGUCGUUGUCGUUGUUGGGAUAUUCACGGUAUUGUUGUUUUUGUUCAAACUGUAAUUUAAUGCUUAUUGUUCGUUACAUUUAGGAUAUAUUCAGUAGACGUGGGAUAUUCAUUCAUGUAACUGGUGAUAUGUUUAUUGGA